CCUACGGGAGGCAGCAGUGAGGAAUAUUGCACAAUGGAGGAAACCCUGAUGCAGCGACGCCGCGUGCGUGAAGAAGGCAUUCGGUAUGUAAAGCUCUAUCAGCAGGGAAGAAAAUAACUGUACCUGAAUGAGAAGCACCGGCUAACUACGUGCCGGCAGCCGCGGUACUACGUAGGGGGCAAGCGUUAUACGGAAUUACUGGGUGUAAAGGGUGGGUAGGCGGCAUGGUAAGCCAGAUGUGAAAGCCUUGGGCUCAACACGAGGAGUGCAUUUGGAACUAUCAAGCUAGAGUAUAGGAGAGGAAAGCGGAAUGCCUAGUGUAGCGGUGAAAUGCGUAGAUAUUAGGAAGAACACCAGUGGCGAAGGCGGCUUACUGGACUGAAACUGACGUUGAGGCACGAAAGCGUGGGGAGCGAACAGGAUUAGAUACCCGAGUAGUC
rnacentral:rRNA from 1 species